CCCACCUGAACUGAUCUGCACCUGCACUGAGCUACAUGUAUAUCUGAUUUUCACAAUGAAAGGACAGCCACAGGGCAGGCUGGAAGACAAGAACACAGCACCACGGUGUCCCACGUGGUGAAGAGCUGAACCUCCCACCAGGAAGCAAGUGAGUCAGCCAUCUUAGAAGGAGGUUCUCUGCUUCCUUCAAUCCUUCCUCGCUAGCCAGUAUCCUGACUACAACACAUCUAAGCUGCUCCAAAAUUCCUGUGCCCGAGUAAUUCUGAACGUCAUUGUUUGAAGCUCAAGGAUUCUAAGUCUUGGCAUAACUUUACAAAGCAAAUAAUAACCAAUCCACUGAGGGGAUUUGCAUACACGUUUGGUAUGCACAGAUGUCUCUGGAAAGAACUUUAAUGGUUAUCUCUAGGGAGAAAGUCUGGAAAGCUCAUACCCAGAGAUGGAAGAAGACUCUCUUUUCAUUAUAUUAUGUUUUAUGUUCAUGUUUUUCCUUUUGCUAAUUUUUAUCAUUUCAAAAAAAAAUGUAGAGCACAUUUCACAGAAGAGCCACGUAAACUACA